UACGAGGGGGGCGAGCGUUGUUCGGAAUUAUUGGGCGUAAAGGGUGCGUAGGCGGUUCCGCAAGUCCUGUGUGAAAUCUUCGGGCUCAACUCGAAGUCUGCACGGGAAACUGCGGGGCUUGAGUGUGGGAGAGGUGAGUGGAAUUCCCGGUGUAGCGGUGAAAUGCGUAGAUAUCAGGAGGAACACCAAUUGCGAAGGCAGCUCGCUGGGACGUUACUGACGCUGAGACGCGAAAGCGUGGGGAGCAAACAGG
rnacentral:rRNA from 1 species